UACGUAGGGGGCAAGCGUUGUCCGGAAUCAUUGGGCGUAAAGCGCGUGUAGGCGGCCCGGUAAGUCCGCUGUGAAAGUCGGGGGCUCAACCCUCGAAUGCCGGUGGAUACUGUCGGGCUAGAGUACGGAAGAGGCGAGUGGAAUUCCUGGUGUAGCGGUGAAAUGCGCAGAUAUCAGGAGGAACACCGGUGGCGAAGGCGGGUCUCUGGGCCGAUACUGACGCUGAGGAGCGAAGGUCAGGGGAGCAAACGGG
rnacentral:rRNA from 1 species